CCUGCCGCGUGAGUGAUGAAGGCCUUAGGGUUGUAAAGCUCUUUCGGCGGGGAAGAUAAUGACGGUACCCGCAGAAGAAGCCCCGGCUAACUUCGU
rnacentral:rRNA from 1 species